rnacentral:misc_RNA from 1 species
UCUCCGUUGGUGAACCAGCGGAGGGAUCAUUACCAGAGUUUUACAACUCCCAACCCUUCUGUGAACCUACCUAUCGUUGCUUCGGCGGGAUCGCCCCGGCGCCUCGGCGCCCGGAACCAGGCGCCCGCCGGAGGCCCAAACUCUUGCAUUACCUGUGGUAUUAUCUGAGUGGCGUAAGCAAAUGAAUUAAAACUUUCAACAACGGAUCUCUUGGUUCUG